rnacentral:rRNA from 1 species
AUUGAACGCUAGCGGGAUGCCUUACACAUGCAAGUCGAACGGAGUGGCGGACGGGUGAGUAAUGUAUCGGAACGUGCCCAGUAGCGGGGGGUUACUAAGCGAAAGCGUCGCUAAUUCAGCCUAAGAUUGGCGCGGCCGAUAUCGGAGUAGCUAGUGGGUGGGGUAACGGCUUACCAAGGCGACGAUCCGUAGCUGGUUUGUGAGGAUGACCAGCCACACUGGGUCUGAGACACGGCCCAGACUCCUACGGGAGGCAGCAGUGGGGAAUUUUGGACAAUGGGGGAAACCCUGAUCCAGCCAUCCCGCGUGUGCGAUGAAGGCCUUCGGGUUGUAAAGCACUUUUGGCAGGAAAGCGGUACCUGCAGAAUAAGCACCGGCUAACUACGUGCCAGCAGCCGCGGUAAUUC